UGGGUAUCAAACAGGAUUAGAUACCCUGGUAGUCCACACAGUAAACGAUGAAUACUCGCUGUUUGCGAUAUACAGUAAGCGGCCAAGCGAAAGCGUUAAGUAUUCCACCUGGGGAGUACGCCGGCAACGGUGAAACUCAAAGGAAUUGACGGGGGCCCGCACAAGCGGAGGAACAUGUGGUUUAAUUCGAUGAUACGCGAGGAACCUUACCCGGGCUUAAAUUGCAACUGAAUGAUGUGGAAACAGAUCAGCCGCAAGGCAGUUGUGAAGGUGCUGCAUGGUUGUCGUCAGCUCGUGCCGUGAGGUGUCGGCUUAAGUGCCAUAACGAGCGCAACCCUUAUCGAUAGUUACCAUCAGGUUAUGCUGGGGACUCUGUCGAGACUGCCGUCGUAAGAUGUGAGGAAGGUGGGGAUGACGUCAAAUCAGCACGGCCCUUACGUCCGGGGCUACACACGUGUUACAAUGGGGGGUACAGAAGGCAGCUACACGGCGACGUGAUGCUAAUCCCGAAAGCCUCUCUCAGUUCGGAUUGGAGUCUGCAACCCGACUCCAUGAAGCUGGAUUCGCUAGUAAUCGCGCAUCAGCCACGGCGCGGUGAAUACGUUCCCGGGCCUUGUACACACCGCCCGUCAAGCCAUGAAAGCCGGGGGUACCUGAAGUGCGUAACCGCAAGGAGCGCCCUAGGGUAAAACUGGUGAUUGGGGCUAAGUCGUAACAAGGUAGCCGUACCGGAAGGUGCGGCUGGAACACCUCCUUU
rnacentral:rRNA from 1 species